UUUCCGUAGGUGAACCUGCGGAAGGAUCAUUACAGAGUUCAUGCCCUCACGGGUAGAUCUCCCACCCUUGAAUAUUUAUACCUUAGUUGCUUUGGCAGGCCGUGGAAACACCAUGGGCUCCGGCUUAUGCGUGCCUGCCAGAGGAAACAACUCUGUUUUUAGUGAUGUCUGAGUACUAUAUAAUAGUUAAAACUUUCAACAACGGAUCUCUUGGUUCUG
rnacentral:misc_RNA from 1 species